AGUGAACGCUGGCGGUAGGCCUAACACAUGCCAGUCGAACGGCAGCACAGUAAGAGCUUGCUCUUACGGGUGGCGAGUGGCGGACGGGUGAGGAAUACAUCGGAAUCUACUUUUUCGUGGGGGAUAACGUAGGGAAACUUACGCUAAUACCGCAUACGACCUACGGGUGAAAGCAGGGGAUCUUCGGACCUUGCGCGAUCGAAUGAGCCGAUGUCGGAUUAGCUAGUUGGCGGGGUAAAGGCCCACCAAGGCGACGAUCCGUAGCUGGUCUGAGAGGAUGAUCGGCCACACUGGAACUGAGACACGGUCCAGACUCCUACGGGAGGCAGCAGUGGGGAAUAUUGGACAAUGGGCGCAAGCCUGAUCCAGCCAUACCGCGUGGGUGAAGAAGGCCUUCGGGUUGUAAAGCCCUUUUGUUGGGAAAGAAAAGCAGCAGGUUAAUACCCCGCUGUUCUGACGGUACCCAAAGAAUAAGCACCGGCUAACUUCGUG
rnacentral:rRNA from 1 species